CUGAUCUCCAUGACCGUGUGAUACUGAUGUCUCACCUUCUCUCCCAUAUGUUAUCUUCAAGUUUUAGUUUUUCUUUUUUCAUCUCUCUUAAAUUAUUUAGAUAGAGUAAAAACUACUUGGUUGGAAUAUUGGACGUUAUUAAGGCUAAAGGUCAGAAUAGUGACAUCAAAACGGACAGUCACGCCAGCAAGCGGAUCGGGCGAGACAAAGAAGAAUAUUGUUGCGAAUAUGACAUACGAAAUAGGUAUAAUUAAGCAAAGGGUGUGGAAUAAAACAAAAUUCUUCUGAGAUUAUAUUAACUUAAGCAUUGGAAUUGUUCUUGAAAUAGAAGUUGUAUUGAUUGAUAAAACUAAUUUAUUAAAUUCUUCAUAUUUAAAAUAUUUCAAAUUAAAAAACCACACUCACACACAUAUACUUAAAUGGCCCAUGUACACAAAAUAUAAGUUUCGAAGAAAAAAAAAAAACGUCAACCAUUCUUAGCACAAAAAUUGUUGAAUGGGUCAUAAAUAUACGCACUUCAUCCACUAUGUUCUGAGUGCUCCAUUGAAGGCCUAAAUAGCUUCAUAUCUUUUAGACGUUGUAAAAAAAAGAAAAAAACUUCGUAUGGACAUAAGAUUUGGGGAAUCGUUAUUAUAUAUCAUUAGGCAUAUCAUAUUCUAUGAUAUAUACGUGUAUAUAAUUUCAGUUGCGUGAUCUUUAUUGUAAUUAUAGUAGAUAUAAACGAUUAAUGGUUAAAGUUUAAUCAAUAAUUAGAUAAACAAUGUUAGAUAAUGGAAACUAAAGUGAGGAAAAAGACGAGGGCACUAACAUGUAAAUGCUGGAAGAGGAAUAUCAUCGAACAAAAACAACAACAACACAGCUCAAUCCUCAAAAUACAAAUAUAAGUAACAUUUUUUUGUGUGUGCAUGUUUGCAUCAUAUAUACGUACAUUUUUGCAUAUUGCGAAUAUCUCACACAAAAAGACAGAAGCAUUUACUCUUAUAUAGCUGCUAUUUUCCCUUACAAAAUUAUUAUUACGAAUUACUUCUGUAAAACCGCGGCAGUACUCUAGUUAUAAUAUAUUGUAAUAUGUCAAAAAUAUCACAUCAUAUUUCUAGUAGUCCUCUUGGACCAUUAAUUACUAAUUAGAACUAUUUCAUUCUCCACUAAAAAUUUUUCUUCCGUACAAGCGAAUAUGUUACUAACAUAGUGCUCUUGGCUUAUGUGUUAGAACUUUACUAAUAUGGUGCUAUUGGCUUAA
rnacentral:misc_RNA from 1 species